ensembl:lncRNA
GUAAUACAAGAGGUGGAAGUAGAAGAUGCGGGAAUAGAAGAGAUAGUGUAACAUUUGCUGAUAAUGUUAUAGGUGGUGAUACAAAUAGUGAAAAUAAGAUAAGUGUGAGUACGAGAAAUAGACUUGCGACAGUUGAAAACACAAAAUAUAAUAAUACGAAAGGUGAUAAAACGGAAGGUGUAAGUAGAAGAGGUGUAAGUAGAAGAGGUGUAAGUAGAAGAGGUGUAAGUAGAAAAGGUGUAAGUAGAAGAAGUGUAAGUAGAAGAGGUGGAAGUAGAAGAGGUGGAAGUAGAAGAGGUGGAAGUAGAAGAGGUGGAAGUAGAAGAGAUACUGUAACAUUUGCUGAUAAUGUGAUAGGUGAUGAUACAAAGGAUAGUAAUGUGAAAAAUGAUAAAUCAUAUGAAAUACAAAUAAAAGAUACUGUAAAAAGUCAAAGCACAGUUGCAACUGCACAUCCUGAUGCAACAUUAACAGACGAAACUACUGAUAAACAAUUGAUUAAUAAUGACAAAAAAAAACAAAAAAAGAGAAAAAAACAUAUAGCAUCUUAUCAAAUUUACAUGUAAAAAGAAAAUACAGUAUCCGUUUGUACAAUAUAAAAACGCAAAAUGAAAAAGUCAUCGAUAGUGAACAAUCUAACUUAGAAGUUACAAAUAUACAAAAAAACAAUGUAAAUAAAAAUGACCACGAUGAUAAAAUUAUUAAUAAUUCCAUUCCAGGACGAAGAAUAAUGACCCGAAGAUCUAGAAGUAGAGAAUUAGAAAUUAAUAAAAAUAUAAAAAAUGUUAACACAAAUAAGGAUAUUGAUAUGGUAGAAAGUAAAAACAUGCAGUCCGAAGAGGAUAACCAAUAUGAUGAAUAUAAUCCAAAUGAAAAAAAUGAAAAGGUCACAGAGGAUACUAUAAAUGAACAAAUUGAAAAAGUUACAGAGGAUACUAUAAAUGAACAAAUUGAAAAAGCUACAGAGGAUACUAUAAAUGAACAAAUUGAAAAGAUCACAGAGGAUACUACAAAUGAACAAAUUGAAAAAAUCACUGAGGAUAAUAACGAUAAAGAAGAUAGACAGUAUGAAGAAAACAAAAAAAAUGGUAAGAAAGACAAUGAAUGUAUCAACAUUAAAGUAUUAAAUAAAAGUAAUGUAAAAACAAAAAAAAGACCCUCUUAUAUGGGGGAUAUAGAAUCAAGGACAUGUAAUAUAUGUAAAGUAGUAUUUGCAAAUACUACGGUAUGUAAAAGACAUAUACGUUGUAUACAUUCAAAUGAACAACCAUAUAAAUGUGAGACGUGUUUAAUGACUUUUAAUCGGUUAGAUAAAUUAAAAUUACAUAUGAAAAAACAUAAUCUAAAUAAAGAAGAGAAAAUGCGUCAAUAUUCAAUAGAUCAUUUAUUAUCUUCAAAAAAUCUCCAACUAUUUGAUGACAAUAAAAAUAAUGAUAAUAAUAGUAAUAACCAUUUUUCUAGUAAUACUACUGCAGAUUUAAACAAAAAUAAUACAGAAUUAGAUGAUGGAUUAUCAGUAAGUGUAGACAAGCAAGAUGAAUUUAAUAAAACUUCUGAAAUUAGUGAUAAAGAUAUAUUAGAAAAAAGUAAUGAUGAAAAUGAUAUAUAUAAAGUAGAAAUAGAUAGUACAAGAUGUAGUAAAAGUUUCAAAAUGAAAAAAUCAGGUUCUAUGGAUAUGGGUAAUGAUAAUGUAAAUGCAGAUUCGGGUGUAAGUGCAGAUUCGGGUGAAUGCACCGAAUUGACUGUAUAUGAACACACAUAUAAACAAAAGCAGGAAAAUAACAGUUUGAAUGAUAAUAACGAUUCAUUGGAGGAAAGGACAUGUAUUGUAUGUCAACUAAUACUAUCUAACAAGAAAUUAUUAAAACGGCAUUUAUCGACUGUACAUUUAAUGGCUAGACCAUAUACAUGUAAUACAUGUUCUAGAAGUUACAAAAGAAAGGACCAUUUAAAAAGGCAUUUAUGUUUGCACGAUGAUGAUAAUAAUAAUGAUAAUAAUGAUGAUAAUAAUGUCAUUGAUAUUGGUAAUUAUAGUAGUAAUAGUGGUUUAGAAAAGAAAUUUAAAAAAAGAAAAAUGGCAAAGGAGGUAUGUCCCAUUUGUGAACUCAACUUUGAUACAAAACAAGAAUUAAAAAAUCAUAGUGUUACACAUUUAUCAUGUCCCUAUGAAAAUUGUAAUUAUAAAUAUAAUUCAAUAACAAAAAUGAAAUAUCACCUAAAUAAACAUAAACAAAAAUUAUUUUAUAACUGUCCUGUAUGUGAAAAAAGUUUUAUUUUUUUUAAAGAUUUUAUACAACAUAAAAAAAAAUUGUUUUACCAAAAAAUAUGUUUGCUUGGAAUGUAAAAAAACAUAUUUACAUCCAAAAGGUUAUAGAGAACAUGUUAAUAAAGUUCAUUUAAAAAUUGCA